AAAACAUCUUUUCUUGUUAGUUUUUGAAGUAUGGCCUGCCCGCUGACUUGAGUGUUGAAGGGCCGCGGUAUUUUGACCGUGCAAAGGUAGCAUAAUCAUUAGUUCUUUAAUUGUGAUCUGGAAUGAAUGGCUUGACGAGGCACUGGCUGUCUUAGUGAUGGAUGUUUUAUUGAAUUUGGUCUUUGAGUUAAAAUUCUUAGAUGUUUUUAUGGGACGAGAAGACCCUAUAGAGUUUGACAUUUGGCUUAUUUAUUUAUGUUGUUUGUUUUGUUUUUGGUAAGUGGGCUUUUUGUUUUGUUGGGGUGAUGAGAGGAAUAUAGUUUAACUCCUCUUGGUUUUAGGUUAUAUUGAUUUAUAGUUGUUUGAUCCAUUUAUUUUGAUUGCAAGAUUAAAUUACCUUAGGGAUAACAGCGU
rnacentral:rRNA from 1 species